GAUGAACGCUGGCGGCGUGCCUAAUACAUGCAAGUCGAGCGAACAGACGAGGAGCUUGCUCCUCUGACGUUAGCGGCGGACGGGUGAGUAACACGUGGAUAACCUACCUAUAAGACUGGGAUAACUUCGGGAAACCGGAGCUAAUACCGGAUAAUAUAUUGAACCGCAUGGUUCAAUAGUGAAAGACGGUUUUGCUGUCACUUAUAGAUGGAUCCGCGCCGCAUUAGCUAGUUGGUAAGGUAACGGCUUACCAAGGCAACGAUGCGUAGCCGACCUGAGAGGGUGAUCGGCCAGACGGGAACUGAGACACGGUCCAGACUCCGACGGGAGGCAGCAGUAGGGAAUCUUCCGCAAUGGGCGAAAGCCUGACGGAGCAACGCCGCGUGAGUGAUGAAGGUCUUCGGAUCGUAAAACUCUGUUAUUAGGGAAGAACAAAUGUGUAAGUAACUAUGCACGUCUUGACGGUACCUAAUCAGAAAGCCACGGCUAACUACGUG
rnacentral:rRNA from 1 species